AUUUCUGCAGGAAGCCUUUAACAAUGGGACCACCAGAGCUCGUGAAACCCAGCUAUGCUAUAGAAGCCAGUGCCUCUUCUUGGAAUUUCAACCCGGAGCUGUGUGAGCAGGAAUUAUUGGUCACUGUGAUUGAGCCUACUUUGCAACAACCCACUCAGUAUC